rnacentral:tRNA from 1 species
GCGGAGUUGGCAUAUUGGUUGUGUCCCAGCCUUCCAAGCUGGUCAAACGAGUUCGAUUCUCGUACUCCGCUCCA